GAACAAACUCAGGACUUUUAUAAAGAAUUUUUACUGUCAUUGAAACUGACUUAUUCACCCUCCACCAGGCAAAAUCGCAUCUGCCCCCCCAUGACAGUGAAUAUAGAUGACAUUUAACUGUUGCCAAAAUUUUCAGUCAUUUGCCAUCACGCCUUGUACUCUGUCAUUCAUUCUGACUGCACGAUGGCAUUAGGAAACGUACAGAAAUAGCCCCAAAGGAGAAAAGGAAACCACUAAAAUGCAUACACACUUAGCACGGCGUGUGUUCGUCUCGCUCUUAAUCCUUUAAUCUGCCGGAACUUUAGAGACAAAGACGAGAAAGAGAAAGACAAACCAGAACCAACACAGAACUGUCAAAAUAGCGGGACUCCCGUCCAACGUUUGAUACAUCAGAGCUCUGGAGACUAAAUGAGGUGACGGUGGAGGGGAAGCUGGGGUGGUGACCUGUGAGUCACGGUUCUUUCGUUUCUGCCUCCCGUGAGGGAAAGUCCAUGUUGGAACUGACUCUGGGGUCAGACGCCGCCCCUCCCCUGCCUCAGGACAACCGCAUGACCUGUGACACCAGUGCUCCUCUUCUGGAAUACAGAUAAUUGCAGUACCAUGACAAUAAGCUGUAUGUCCACUCCCAAAGAAACCAUCUGUGAAUCUCUGAUGAGCGUCUCCUGUGAGGCAAUGUAAAGCAUUCAGAACCUUCGAGUGACAUCAUGAUCUGCAUUGGAAAAAUUGUAAAGACGAGUGAUAAAAUACAACAUCAGAGAACUAUUCCCGACAAUCACCAUCUUACUUAUUAUUUUGCAUACAAACGGUCAGAAUAAUUUAUUAGGCCAACAGUUCAUUCGUUCAGAACAUGUGACUGGAAAAAUUGGAAUAUGUAUGAGACUGGAAUUAAUAUACUGUCAAUGGCAGCAUCAUCAGCAAGGUGAAGUGACAGCUAUAAAUAAAUUAAUAAAGUAAAAAAAAACUUAACCGAAAGAAAGAUGCACACAUCAUUUUUGUCCUGUGUUUUUGAAUUUGACUUUGAUAGAUUGGAGCGCUUUAUUAUGAUAGGAUGCAGCAUGUAUGUUACACAAGUACACCCUCCAGGUGAGGGCCAGAUGGAUCUUCCCUCUCUCUCUCUCUCGCUCCGUCUCUGUCUCUCUACCUCUCUGGCUCCAGGCUUGAUUACACUCACCACAUAGUGGCCCGGUUGGAGACAAAACAAAGCAAGUGGAAGUACUGAGGGCCUUAGAUGGAACUAUUUAAUACAGUUUUUCCCUUGUGUGUGUGUGUGUGUUCCACACACAGCUCAGCCCCAACAAACACAUGCAAGAUGUUAGCUGUGCUGGAAUAGACUGCAAACAUCUUAGACUCAUACACUUAAUGGCCAUCAGUGGCAUUUUCCACAAGGCAACUGUAUCUUUUUGCAAUUAUCAUUUUUUUAAACCAAUUCUUUGCUGCUGCAUUUCCUCCAUGUUCUCUAAAUUAUUAAUUUCAAUAAUAUUAUUGCACAAAAUGUUACAGUCUGCCAAUGAGAAGAUGCAGCACCUCAAAGCAUCUUAUAAAGCAAGGACAAUGAGCUUACCCUACUGUAAAAUAAGUACGUCACCAAUAUGGAUAAAUCAAUUUGUAAUGUUGCCAAAAAAGUGCAUGUUGAAAACAAUUUCACCAGCCAACCAAUGUUUAUCAUCAAG
ensembl:lncRNA